CAACUACUCCCUCUGUCCCAAAUUUCUUGUCUUAGAUUUGUCUAGAUACGGAUGUAUCUAAUNUUUCUUGUCUUAGAUUUGUCUAGAUACGGAUGUAUCUAAUACUAAAAUGUGACUUGAUACAUCCGUAUCUAGACAAAUCUAAGACAAGAAUUUUGGGACGGAGGGAGUACUUU
rnacentral:pre_miRNA from 1 species